CAGCUGCAUACAAAAUUGGGC
rnacentral:miRNA from 1 species